AGAGAGACUAAAGUGUUGCGAAACAAGGAGAUUCCUCUUGUUAAGGUUCAAUGGGAUGCGACACAUCCGGGUGAUGCUACAUGGGAACUUGAAUCGGAAAUGCGGGAUGCUUACCCUCACCUUUUCAGAUUCUAGAGAGAAGGAGUAGAGAGAAGGAGGAGCAAGAAGAGAAAGAGGAAAGCUUGGAUUUCGAUCAUUUCUCCGCCGAUUCAACUCAUCUUCGACAUCAGCGACUCGUAAUCGAGGUACUACAGGUUCCGCGAAGGGUAAGGAGAAAGCAGUUUGAUUUCCUUAUUCCUUAUGCUUAUUUUGGACAUGGCGAAGCUUCCGUUGUGGAUUUUCUUUUGAGAUCAUUGUUGAUCUAGUUCUUAGUAUUUUGUUUUGAACAUCUUGUAUGUAUUAUGCCGUUGUUAGAACUUUGUAUUUAGGGCAUUAAUAUGUAUAAUGUGUUGACUAGGAACUUAUAAGUA